UAGCUUGAUCCUGGCUCAGGAUGAACGCUAGCGGCAGGCUUAAUACAUGCAAGUCGAGGGGCAGCAGUCCCGACGCAAGUCGGGAGCUGGCGACCGGCAAACGGGUGCGGAACACGUACGCAACCUUCCUUUAACUGGAGAAUAGCCCCUCGAAAGAGGGAUUAAUACUCCGUAACAUAUUUUGAUAAGGCAUCUUAUUAAUAUUAUAGCCUUCGGGCGGUUGAAGAUGGGCGUGCGCCUGAUUAGAUAGUUGGCGGGGUAACGGCCCACCAAGUCUGCGAUCAGUAACUGGUGUGAGAGCACGACCAGUCGCACGGGCACUGAGACACGGGCCCGACUCCUACGGGAGGCAGCAGUAAGGAAUAUUGGUCAAUGGACGCAAGUCUGAACCAGCCAUGCCGCGUGGAGGAUUAAGGCCCUCUGGGUUGUAAACUCCUUUUAUCUGGAAAGAAAUGCCAGUUUUCUAAUUGGUUUGACGGUACCAGAGGAAUAAGCACCGGCUAACUCCGUGCCAGCAGCCGCGGUAAUACGGAGGGUGCAAGCGUUAUCCGGAUUCACUGGGUUUAAAGGGUGCGUAGGCGGGCAGGUAAGUCCGUGGUGAAAUCUCUGAGCUUAACUCAGAAACUGCCAUGGAUACUAUUUGUCUUGAAUAUUGUGGAGGUAAGCGGAAUAUGUCAUGUAGCGGUGAAAUGCUUAGAUAUGACAU
rnacentral:rRNA from 1 species